UGGGGAAUAUUGCACAAUGGGCGCAAGCCUGAUGCAGCCAUGCCGCGUGUGUGAAGAAGGCCUUCGGGUUGUAAAGCACUUUCAGCGAGGAGGAAGGUGGUGAACUUAAUACGUUCAUCAAUUGACGUUACUCGCAGAAGAAGCACCGGCUAACUCCGUGCCAGCAGCCGCGGUAAUACGGAGGGUGCAAGCGUUAAUCGGAAUUACUGGGCGUAAAGCGCACGCAGGCGGUUUGUUAAGUCAGAUGUGAAAUCCCCGGGCUCAACCUGGGAACUGCAUUUGAAACUGGCAAGCUAGAGUCUCGUAGAGGGGGGUAGAAUUCCAGGUGUAGCGGUGAAAUGCGUAGAGAUCUGGAGGAAUACCGGUGGCGAAGGCGGCCCCCUGGACGAAGACUGACGCUCAGGUGCGAAAGCGUGGGGAGCAAACAGGAUUAGAUAACCCCUGGUAGGUCCACGCUGUAAAACGAUGUCGAUUUUGGAGGUUGUGCCCUUGAGGCGUGGCUUCCGGAGCUAACGCGUUAAA
rnacentral:rRNA from 1 species